rnacentral:tRNA from 2 species
GCCCCGGUAGCUCAGUGGAUUAGAGCAUCUGACUUCGGAUCAGAGGGUCGUGGGUUCGAAUCCUACCCGGGGUG